GAUGAACGCUGGCGGCGUGCCUAAUACAUGCAAGUCGGACGCAGUUGCGAACGGGUGAGUAACGCGUUUGUAACUACCUAUUAGAGGGGGAUAACUAUUGUAAACGAUAGCUAAUACCGCCUACUAGUAGAUGGACCUGCGUUGUAUUAGCUAGUAGGUAGGGUAAUGGCCUACCUAGGCAACGAAACAUAGCCGACCUGGAGAGGGUGUCCGACAGAAGGGGAAUGAGGAAAGGACCAGACUCCAAGAGGAGGGAGCAGUUGGGAAGCAUGGGACAUGGGGGGAAAACUGACCGAGCAACGGCGAGGGAUAGAAGGAGGUUUUCGGAGCGUGAAACGAUGUUGUUAAGGGAGCGGUACUUAACCAGAAAGGGCCGGCUAACUACGUGCCAGCAGCCGCGGUAAUUC
rnacentral:rRNA from 1 species